rnacentral:rRNA from 1 species
AUUGAACGCUGGCGGCAGGCCUAACACAUGCAAGUCGAACGGUAACAGGAAGAAGCUUGCUUCUUUGCUGACGAGUGGCGGACGGGUGAGUAAUGUCUGGGAAACUGCCUGAUGGAGGGGGAUAACUACUGGAAACGGUAGCUAAUACCGCAUAACGUCGCAAGCCCAAAGAGGGGGACCUUCGGGCCUCUUGCCAUCGGCUGUGCCCAGAUGGGAUUAGCUAGUAGGUGGGGUAACGGCUCACCUAGGCGACGAUCCCUAGCUGGUCUGAGAGGAUGACCGGCCACACUGGAACUGAGACACGGUCCAGACUCCUACGGGAGGCAGCAGUGGGGAAUAUUGCACAAUGGGCGCAAGCCUGAUGCAGCAAUGCCGCGUGUAUGAAGAAGGCCUUCGGGUUGUAAAGUACUUUCAGCGGGGAGGAAGGGAGUAAAGUUAAUACCCUUGCUCAUUGACGUUACCCGCAGAAGAAGCACCGGCUAACUCCGUG